CUUAUCUGAUCCAAAUCCUUUACACCCACCCUAAAAAUUAGGCUCUUCACCCAAUUAAUGUGUGAACCCUACCUUGUUGUACUUAUUUUUUAUUCCAGCAAUAAAAGCGCUUUGUCUCUCUCUCUCUUCCAUAACUGAAAAGCUAAACCUUGUAAUUCAGUUUUUUUUGUUCUUCGUUGUUUAUAAGGUAGACUUAAAAAGUUGGUUCAAUGUCUAGUUCAAGUGUUACAUCGAGAAAGAGGUGCUAUUGUGGGGAUAUUGCGGAAAACUUCACUUCGAGGACUCCAAACAACCUCGUAAAGAGAUUCUACAAGUGUGCUAAACCUGAAUUAUUGAUUGUGUUUGUGGUAUUGAGAAUAGCAAGACGAAGUUAUUUCAGUUAAAAUAUUGAUGGUAAUCAACAUUUUCAAGUUUAAAUUAGAUGCUUCCAUUGACGAAAUCACGAUGUUGAAUAUGUUGUCAAAUACGUGCAAGCUUGAAAGGGACAAAUUGAUGGAAAAUGUUGAUGUUUUAAAGGCUAUAAAUGAUGUUGAAGUGAAUAAAGCAAGGGAUAUGGAAGUGAAAGUGAUGCAGAUGAAGAUGUUCAUUAUGAUUUCAUUUGCAUUAUUUGUCGAAUUUGAUGUGGCAUUGUCGAUGAAAUGAAUUCUGCAUUUUGUCUAGUGCCGUAAGUUUUUGAUGAAGUGAAUUGUUGUAAAAUUUAGAUUGUCAUGAAUGUUUUGUGUAGGUUAACUGGAUUGUAAUAUGAUGAAUGUUUUGGCGUGAUUUUUAACAUAUUGUAAUGCCUCAA